AGCCGAAACCUGUGGCUCUGCAAAACAGGGGUAACAACUGGGCGUGAGAACUACUGUAAAAACAAGUAGUCCUCAGUGGGUACCGCCCAAAACAACAUCGGUCCACCCACUAAGUCUACAGAAGGGAGCAAGAGUAGUCAGAAAAGCAGGAAGUAAACUCUACCGCUAUCGAUCACUACACUAUCAUGCUCUACACUAACCAACUGUAGUAAAUGUCAAAUCUGACCCAAUCCAAUCGGGACUGUAAGCAUACCCGUCCCCGGGACUGUGAAUACACCCGUCCCUGCCCCGUUGCGACUAUCAGGCUCUAUCCACACUAACUGGUCCGUGGAGAGCAAGUCCAACUGGCAUGAGCGACACCAACGCGAAAGCACAAAGCCUGACUCCGGAGUGGCACUCGUGGGCGCUACCCAACCGAGUAUGCAGCGUAUCUCUGUCGAGCUCAAUCAGGCUCUGAAAAGCCAAAGUCAAGUAACCAACUCAAACUGGUCUAAUAACCAACAGGUAACGUGCCCUCAGCACAAUCUGACGCCAAAAAGGCGAUACGGGUCCACCGUCAACCCUGACGGCACCCAACAGUCCGGAACAACCUGAACGACCCUGUAAAAAUCCACUCGGCACACCAGCACGAGCGUAAAUAUAUUCUAAACUACCUGAAGUACUCGUCUCGAAGAUACUGCGACAGUACAAUUUUAUAACGGCUCCUAGAGCUAAAUCAGGCAGUUUAAACAUGUGACAGGUCCAAAUCGCAGGUUUUCUCCUAAUUCAAAUUCCAAGUCCAACAUGUAUAAACUACUCAAUUUAAUACCACAUGCUCCAAAUUCAGAUUUGCUAUCUAUAACAAAAUCCAUGAAUUCGAGCUAAAGUAAACUAUAUAAAAUCUGAAAUUACACAUGUUGACUAUUGCGCACUUAGGAGUAUAAGCCGAUCAUUAACCCACCUUAGUCGCUAAUUCCUAGCAGCGAGGAAGUCCCGAAGCAAAGGAACACCCUGCUGGAUCAAUCCGCAAACCUCCAAAGGCCAGAAAUCACGCUCCCGCCAAACUCUACACGUAAAAUCCGAAAAUGAGCACCGAUUCUGCCUCAAAAACAGCAGCAGAGAAGAGAAUAAUUCCGACCAAGAAAACCUCCACCAAAACCAGCAAGUAAGGGCUUCGUGGAUUCCUCUCGAAGUCCCGAAUCCAACGAACCAAGUCUCGUCGAAAUCCGCUGCUCCUACGUCGAGAGGGAGCCGAAACGGCGACGGUCGACGCUGAAAAUUCUGCAAAUCAGCACCAAGCUCGAAAUGACAAUACUUGAAGCAAUGCAACGGAACACUCACCUCAAAGGCUAAUUGAACAUCGACGCGGCGGUGAGAACGACGAAAACGCACCCUCACCUAGCUUCCUCGUAGCGCUACGAUGACGAAGACCUGCUCGAACGGCACCGUGGCGCGACGUCGGCGUCGAUCCGAGCUCCACGACAACUCCACCCGAGCUCGAGCUCUCCACCUUGCCCACGAGCUAAAUUAAGGAGGGAUAGAGAGAGAAGGCUAAUUAGUUUUCAAUGGGUUGAGUUGAUAAGUAUCAAGAGGGAGUUGGUGAGAUACUUAUCCACCAACUCAAAAGAUUUUUUUUUUUUCCUCACCAACUCAAAAGCUAAGGGUACUACAUCCUCCCUCACUACAAAAAGUUUCGUCCUCGAAACUUAAAACAUACCUCAAGACGAGGAAGCGAACAAGUCGGGGUAGGACUCCCUCAUCACUGUCUCAGGCUCCCAAGUCGCCUCCCGCUCCUCGUGAUUGCUCCACUGCACUUUCACAUACGGGAUGGCCCGAUUGCGCAAUUCUUUCGUCUCCUAAGCAAGAAUUCGCAAUGGUCGCUUCUCGUAUCUCAGAUCCUCGCUAAUCUCUAGUGGAGUGAAGUCAAUCACGUGAGAGGGAUCGAAAAUAUAUCUCCUCAAUGCUGAGACGUGGAAGACAUCGUGAAUGCCAGCUAGUCGCGGGGGUAGAGCGAUCCUGUAUGCAACCGGUCCGAUACGCUCUAAUACCUCGAAAGGGCUAACAAACCGUGGACUAAGCUUUCCACGUACUCCAAAUCGGCGUAUCCCUCUGGACGGCGAGACUUUGAGGAAAACAUGAUCUCCAACCUGAAACUCCAAGUCUCGUCUCCUGGUAUCGGCGUAGCUCCUCUGUCGGCUCUGUGCAGUCAAAAGGUGUCGUCGAAUGAUUCUCACCUUUUCCUCAGCCUCAAGUAGAAUGUCCAGUCCAAGUGUCCUCCGCUCACCCACAUCGCUCCAAAAUAGGGGGGAUCGACAUCUGCGUCCAUACAACGCCUCAAACAGAGCCAUCUGAAUGCUCGUUUGAUAGCUGUUGUUGUACGCAAACUCAACAAGUCUCACAUGUCGAUACUACCCUCCUCCAAAAUCCAGGACGCAUGCCCUCAGCAUGUCCUCUAGAGUCUGUAUGGUCCACUCCGACUGACCAUCUGUCUGUGGGUGGAACGCCGUGCUAAAAUGCAGCUGAGUGCCCAAGGCGGUCUGAAAGCUCCUCCAAAACUGGGAUACAAACCUCGGAUCUCUGUCUGAUACAAUCGACACUGGCACGCCGUGCAGCCUAACGAUCUCAUCCAAGUAUAGCUGCGCAAGUCUCUCUCUGGACCAGGUAGUCAGAACCGGUAGGAAGUGAGCAGACUUGGUCAGUCUGUCCACUAUCACCCAAAUCGCAUCGUAGCCACCCUGCGCUCUAGGCAAUCCAACGACGAAAUCCAUUGUGAUCUGCUCCCACUUCCACUCGGGCACUGGCAGACUCUGAAGCUUGCCAGCAGGUACCUGAUGCUCGGCUUUCACCUGUUUGCAAGUCAAACACUGAGUCACAUAUCUGCCAAUGUCCCUCUUCAUUCCAUUCCACCAAAACCGUGCUUUUAGAUCCUUAUACAUCUUGGUUCCACAUGGAUGAACCGUAUAAGGAGAACAAUGAGCCUCUUUCAGAAUGUCUGCUCGGAUCUCAGAAUCCACAGGCACACACAGUCGGUCCCUGUACCGUAGUACUCUCGAACCGUCCAAAGCAAAACCCUCAGCCUGCCCCCUGUCUAGCUGCUCUCUAAUCCUCACCAAGUACGGAUCUCCACUCUGUUUCUCUCGGAUCCUAUCCAACAGAGUGGGCUGUAAAACUAGAGACAUCAGCCUUGCCGUAGACCCAGGGGGUACUAUCUCGAGUCCCAACCACUGUAGCUCCUCGAGUAGGGGUCUCUGCUCAGUAAUCCUCAAACUCAGGCUCUGCACUGACUUCCUGCUCAAUGCAUCUGCCACAACAUUCGCCUUGCCGGGAUGAUACUGAACACUAAUGUCAUAGUCCUUCAGUAACUCCAACCACCGGCGCUGCCUCAGGUUCAGCUCUCUCUGUGUGAACAGAUACUUGAGACUUUUAUGAUCGGUGAAGACCUCGCAGUGCUCGCCGUACAAGUAAUGCCGCCACAACUUCAAAGCAAAAACUACUGCGGCAAGCUCCAAAUCAUGCGUAGGGUAAUUCUUCUCAUAAUCCUUUAACUGCCGUGAAGUAUAAGCAAUCACCCUACCAUGCUGCAUCAGCACGCAACCAAGUCCAUUGUGCGAUGCAUCACUGUAGUUCACGAAUCCUUCCCCCAUCACCGGAAGGGCAAGGAUAGGAGCUGACGUCAACCUCUAUCUCAACUCGUCAAAGCUCCUCUGACAGUCGUCGCUCCAGACAAAACGAAUCCCCUUCCGCAUCAAGCGUGUGAGGGGUGUGGAAAGCUUCGCAAAGCCUUCCACAAACCGACGGUAAUAUCCUGCCAGUCCCAGGAAGCUCCGUACCUCAGUCACCGUCGUCGGUCUAGGCCAAUCUCGAAUCGCCUCAAUCUUCUUCGGGUCCACUGCUACGCCCUCGGCUGAAAUCACGUGGCCCAAGAAAGCAACCUCCCGUAGCCAGAACUCGCACUUCUUUAACUUGGCAUACAACUUCUUCUCGCGCAGAAGCUGUAGCACAAUCCUCAAGUGCUCCUCAUGCUCAGCAUCACUCCGGGAGUAAAUCAGGAUAUCGUCGAUGAAGACUACCACAAACCUAUCCAAGAACGGCUUGAACACUCUGUUCAUCAAAUCCAUGAAUGCGGCAGGGGCAUUCGUCAAUCCAAAAGGCAUCACCGUGAACUCAUAAUGCCCGUACCGAGUCCGAAAAGCCGUCUUGGGAACAUCCUCGGCCCUCACCCUCAGCUGGUGGUAACCUGACUGGAGAUCAAUCUUCGAAAAGACACAAGAUCCUUGCAGCUGAUCGAAUAGAUCAUCAAUGCGCGGCAGAGGAUACUUGUUCUUGAUGGUCACUUUAUUCAGCUCCCGGUAAUCCACACAUAACCUGAGCGAACCAUCCUUCUUCUUUACAAAUAACACCGGCGCUCCCCAAGGCGACACACUGGGUCUCACAAACCCUCUAUCCAUCAGAUCCUGAAGUUGCGCCUUUAGCUCUCUCAGCUCUGCCGGUGCCAUCCUGUAAGGUACCUUUGAGAUUGGUGCAGUUCCAGGAACUACAUCAAUCACAAACUCAAUCUCCCUCUCCGGCGGCAAUGUCGUCAACUCAGGGGGAAACACAUCCGAAAACUCGCGGACUACUGGGAUGUCCUCGAGUCUCGGCGCCGCCGUAGGUACCUCCACAACUGUCGCUAGGAAAGCGAUACACCCACUGCUCAGCAUCUGUCGAGCCCUCGCCGAAGAUAUCCAGGUGGCAAACAGCGUGCUCCUGCAGCCUCUGAAAGUAAACUCCUCCUGGCCUGGCUCGCGGAACGUCACCGUCCUCGCUCCACAGUCGAUCGUAGCAUAGUACCGCGCCAGCCAAUCCAUACCGAGCACUACGUCGAAGUCCUGCAGCUGCCCUAACACCAACAGGUCUGCGGGCAUGAUCCAAGAGUCUAACUGCACCGGACAGGACCAACAACACUCUGUAACCUGCAAGACAUGGUCGGGGAUCUGCACCUCUCGUGCCUGAGACAACGCUCCUAACUCUAGACCAUGCAACAAUGCAAAUGCUCGGCUAACAAAGGAAUGCGAUGCACCGGUAUCAAAAAGAGUGCGAACUCUAAUGCCAGAAAUCAAAGUGAUACCUGCCACCACUCGGUCGGCUGCUGUAGAGUCCUCCACCUGAGCUGGAUAGACCCUGCCACUCGGAGCCUGCUGUCGCCGCUCACCCGACAGCGGCACCGACGAUCUGUCCUCCUGGCGGUAACUCUGUGCUGCUCCGUAAGACUGCUGUGGUGCUGGUGGUGCUGAAGCUGAUGAUGGUGCUGGAGAUACUGCUCGGGGACAAACUGCCCUCAUGUGUCCCGGCUGACCACACCCGUAACACCGGCCCUCCCUCUGCUCACACUGUCGGGGCCAGUGUGGUCCCCCGCAGAUCACACACUGCGGCGUCCUCUGAGUCUGUCCCUGCUGACGGGAUCCCCUGGAACGCUGACGCCCCGAAGACCCACGACCCUGAGAACGUGAUCGUGGAGGUCUCGGCGGACGUCUGCUGCUCGACUGUCCUCCAUCAUCUGGAAAGGGGCGCUUCCUGUCCUGACCCUGCCCCACGGCCUGAGUCCUCUCCUGCAGCAACACCUCACCUCUCUCUACCCAUAGGGCCUGCUCUAUGGAUGCAUCCAGGGUCCUCGACCUCUGCGCCCGCGCUAACCUGAAGAUGUCCGGUCUCAGCCCCUGCUCGAACAUGUACACCCUGUGCGCCUCGUCUCUGGCCACAAAUGGCACACAGUUCAGGAGUCAAGUAAACUCCCGAACGUACUCCUGCACUGGACGAUCUCCCUGCUGAAGCCUCCUCAAAUCCUCCUCGAGCUUCUGCUUCACACUGUUGGGAAAGAACAUCCCAAACAGCAUUCCACAGAACUGAUCCCACCUCAGCUGCGCCGCCACCAGCCCCUGAUCUCGCCUCGCUCUCCGCCACCAGUCGUGAGCAUCACCUGCUAAACAGUGUACUCCCAGAGGUACCUGCUCCCUCUCCGGAAUGAAUAGAUCCUCAAAUAGCUUCUCCAUCGCACUGACCCAUCCCUUAACAACCCAGGCCUCAGUGCAUCUGCCAUUGUAAAUCGGUGGAUCAAAACGGCGAAAACGAGCCAACCUCUCUGUCCACCUCUCCUGCUCGGCCUCUGUCAACUGUACGGGCCCCCUAGCAUGCGCAACUGGCGCUGUAGGAAGCUCCACUGGUGGGGGCAUAGCUGUGGCUAGAACUGACGCUGGAGUAGUCGGUGGCGGAACAGUCUGCUCUGGUACUCUCGGUGCAGCACUCGGUGUCUGAGCCACCCUCUCACACAACCUCUGCAACAACUCCCCCUGCUGCCUCGUCACCUUAGUCAAGGCUGCCAACUGUGCACUCAGGUCAGGGGGUGCGCUAGCCUCAAGUCGCACACUCGGCUCCACAACAGGGGGUGCCCUCGCCUCCGGUCUGUCACCCUGCUCCAUCUGCUCAGGUCUCUCAAAAGGUCCUGCACAAUCCCGCGCCAACUGGGCACGCUCCCGCAACGACGGUCGACCUCGGCGACGAUACAUAGCUGAAAAGAACAGAUCGGAGUCAGUUGAAACACAAACACUCUCGACCCAAUCAACGAAAGUCUGGAAGGCGGUCCCUGUUUCCCUCCAAAAUUAUGUCGUCUGCAGCCAACAUAAUUUCUCAGGCCAAAACAAGUACUCCUUCAGUCACUCACUCUACUCUAGGAGGAGUUUAGAAUAAAUAAUCAUUGACUUUCGCAAUUAAAUUAUGCCUCUCGCAUCUUGCUUUCCUAAAGUUUGCCAAACUUAGGUUUCCUAGGUCCCAACGACCUAAUGCUAAGCUCUGAUACAAACUUAAUUUGUCACGCCCCGGAUGUCUCGUUCCCCGGGCACGCCGACAAACCCGCCGCAUACAAAGGAGUUUCCUCUGUACACGAAGCGACAGCUGUACCUGUAAAUAUACAAUACUACAAACAGUAGUAUAGAGCUGCUAGAGAAAAUAAAAGCUAAACAAACUGAGUUUUAUAUACAUAGCUCAAAUCCAAAAUACAGAGUUACUCGCACUGGCGAGUUAGGUAAACUAUGUACAUAAACUCGAAACAAAACAUCUACCUGCAGAAGGGCACCUCUAGCUCAGCACGUCGGGUAGGGCUCUAACCCGCGACGCCCUUGCCUCGAUCCUGAUCCGCGGACGGUGCAGCAGCCGGAACCUGUGGCUCUGCAAAAACAUAGGUAACAACUGGGCGUGAGAACUACUGUAAAAACAAGUAGUCCUCAGUGGGUACCGCCCAAAACAACAUCGGUCCACCCACUAAGUCUACAGAAGGGAGCAAGAGUAGUCAGAAAAGCAGGAAGUAAACUCUACCGCUAUCGAUCACUACACUAUCAUGCUCUACACUAACCAACUGUAGUAAAUGUCAAAUCUGACCCAAUCCAAUCGGGACUGUAAGCAUACCCGUCCCCGGGACUGUGAAUACACCCGUCCCUGCCCCGUUGCGACUAUCAGGCUCUAUCCACACUAACUGGUCCGUGGAGAGCAAGUCCAACUGGCAUGAGCGACACCAACGCGAAAGCACAAAGCCUGACUCCGGAGUGGCACUCGUGGGCGCUACCCAACCGAGUAUGCAGCGUAUCUCUGUCGAGCUCAAUCAGGCUCUGAAAAGCCAAAGUCAAGUAACCAACUCAAACUGGUCUAAUAACCAACAGGUAACGUGCCCUCAGCACAAUCUGACGCCAAAAAGGCGAUACGGGUCCACCGUCAACCCUGACGGCACCCAACAGUCCGGAACAACCUGAACGACCCUGUAAAAAUCCACUCGGCACACCAGCACGAGCGUAAAUAUAUUCUAAACUACCUGAAGUACUCGUCUCGAAGAUACUGCGACAGUACAAUUUUAUAACGGCUCCUAGAGCUAAAUCAGGCAGUUUAAACAUGUGACAGGUCCAAAUCGCAGGUUUUCUCCUAAUUCAAAUUCCAAGUCCAACAUGUAUAAACUACUCAAUUUAAUACCACAUGCUCCAAAUUCAGAUUUGCUAUCUAUAACAAAAUCCAUGAAUUCGAGCUAAAGUAAACUAUACAAAAUCUGAAAUUACACAUGUUGACUAUUGCGCACUUAGGAGUAUAAGCCGAUGAUUAACCCACCUUAGUCGCUAAUCCCCAGCAGCGAGGACGUCCCGAAGCAAAGGAACACCCUGCUGGAUCAAUCCGCAAACCUCCAAAGGCCAGAAAUCACGCUCCCGCCAAACUCUACACGUAAAAUCCGAAAAUGAGCACCGAUUCUGCCUCGAAAAUAGCAGCAGAGAAGAGAAUAAUUCCGACCAAGAAAACCUCCACCAAAACCAGCAAGUAAGGGCUUCGUGGAUUCCUCUCGAAGUCCCGAAUCCAACGAACCAAGUCUCGUCGAAAUCCGCUGCUCCUACGUCGAG
rnacentral:lncRNA from 1 species